rnacentral:rRNA from 1 species
UGGCGGCGAGUGGCGAACGGGUGAGUAAUACAUCGGAACGUGCCCAAUCGUGGGGGAUAACGCAGCGAAAGCUGUGCUAAUACCGCAUACGAUCUACGGAUGAAAGCAGGGGAUCGCAAGACCUUGCGCGAAUGGAGCGGCCGAUGGCAGAUUAGGUAGUUGGUGAGGUAAAGGCUCACCAAGCCUUCGAUCUGUAGCUGGUCUGAGAGGACGACCAGCCACACUGGGACUGAGACACGGCCCAGACUCC